UCUGGCUUCAGAAACAGAUUUACAGCUUCAUUGCUCUUGCCAGCACCUUUCAAUACAGGUGUUAUCUGUAGUUUUAUUUGCAUCUACUGUAAACUAUACUUUAUUUAAAUAUUAGUCUUGCAUUGUAACCCUUUACUGUCUUGUAACACCUCUAAGUUGCCUUGAAGAAGAAGAAGAAGAAGAAGAAGAAGAAGAAGAAGAAGAAGAAGAAGAAGAAGAAGAAGAAGAAGAAUUGGCUCAAGUUUUAUGAAAAUGACCUAUAGGCAGGCUGGAGAGCGAGAGAGCAGCACAGAGGAAGCUGUCUUUGUCUCCUGGGAAAAUGAUAUGGAAAUGCAAGUAAACGGUGACCUUUACAAAGAGAGAUAAUGACUGCAGCUCCCUCUCCAGUGUGGGAUCGCAUUACCCGUGAAUCCUCCAUCCCUUCAGUGUGGGAUCCCAUUACCCGUGAAUCCUCCGUCCCUUCAGUGCGGGGUUGAGGUGAACAGCACACACUGGUCCCGGAGUGCCCUUUCAGUCUCAUUGAGAUGCUUUUCGUUCUCCUCCCGUUCUUCCAGCCCUCUGCAGGCUCCUGUGCUCGACUGAGCCGUGAAGAAUCUCCCGCUGGCUCGCCAUGCGUCAAAGUAAUUAAGACUUCCUGUUAAUCUGCUUCUGCUUCAGCAGCAAGGUCAACGAGACCCCAGGCAGCAACGGUGUGUAAUGGGAAUGACAUUAACCCCUUAACCUCCAGAGUCCUCUAUUUCAGACAGUCUCCCUGUUUCUGACACCGCGGCAACACUGGCCUCUUUAAAACCCCUGUUACGUAUGCAUACCAGAUGCUACGAUCUGGACAGACAAUAACAUUCACAAUGGCUGGAGGCAAAAGGGUUGAAAUUGUAAAGGGUGUUAAACAGCCAUGCAUCUGCCCAUCCCGUUCUUUAUUUAGCAACCCCCUUUCAUUUUUUUGAAAACGAUUAUCAAAGUCAACCUCUCAAAGAUAUACUAAAUAAACUCUUAUAUAUUAAAAUGGUUUCGUUAAAAAAACACAUAUACAACAUUAAAGCUAAUAAUACAUAAAUUAAAACUAAU